rnacentral:rRNA from 1 species
GAUGAACGCUGGCGGCGUGCCUAAUACAUGCAAGUCGAGCGAACAGAUGAGGAGCUUGCUCCUCUGACGUUAGCGGCGGACGGGUGAGUAACACGUGGAUAACCUACCUAUAAGACUGGGAUAACUUCGGGAAACCGGAGCUAAUACCGGAUAAUAUAUUGAACCGCAUGGUUCAAUAGUGAAAGACGGUUUUGCUGUCACUUAUAGAUGGAUCCGCGCCGCAUUAGCUAGUUGGUAAGGUAACGGCUUAUCAAGGCAACGAUGCGUAGCCGACCUGAGAGGGUGAUCGGCCACACUGGAACUGAGACACGGUCCAGACUCCUACGGGAGGCAGCAGUAGGGAAUCUUCCGCAAUGGGCGAAAGCCUGACGGAGCAACGCCGCGUGAGUGAUGAAGGUCUUCGGAUCGUAAAACUCUGUUAUUAGGGAAGAACAAAUGUGUAAGUAACUAUGCACGUCUUGACGGUACCUAAUCAGAAAGCCACGGCUAACUACGUG